UACAGAGGGUGCAAGCGUUGUUCGGAAUCAUUGGGCGUAAAGCGCACGUAGGCGGCUUCGCAAGUCAGGUGUGAAAGCCCAGGGCUCAACCCUGGAAGUGCAUUUGAAACUGCGAGGCUUGAAUCUUGGAGAGGGCAGUGGAAUUCCGAGUGUAGAGGUGAAAUUCGUAGAUAUUCGGAGGAACACCAGUGGCGAAGGCGACUGCCUGGACAAAGAUUGACGCUGAGGUGCGAAAGCGUGGGGAGCAAACAGG
rnacentral:rRNA from 1 species